AUCCAACUGACGAGUCUCAAAUAGGACGAAACACGAGUCCUGGAU
rnacentral:hammerhead_ribozyme from 1 species